rnacentral:sRNA from 1 species
AGCUUUGUUAGAGGUGGUGGACUUGAGAAUCCGCGUAGCGGGUUCGAGUCGGACGCAGUGCGGGAGACAACGGUGCCGCUUGCGGCAACGGCCCGAAGGGCGAGGGUCGAAGAUCCGAGUAAUCCCGCCACCUCCACCA